AUUGAACGCUGGCGGCAGGCCUAACACAUGCAAGUCGAGCGGAGCGGGGACGGGUGAGUAACACGUGGGUAACCUCCCAUCAGAGGGGAUAACACUUGGAAACAGGUGCUAAACCGAUACUGAUGGAUGGACCCGCGGUGCAUUAGCUAGUUGGUGAGGUAACGGCUCACCAAGGCCACGAUGCAUAGCCGACCUGAGAGGGUGAUCGGCCACACUGGGACUGAGACACGGCCCAGACUCCUACGGGAGGCAGCAGUAGGGAAUCUUCGGCAAUGGACGAAAGUCUGACCGAGCAACGCCGCGUGAGUGAAGAAGGUUUUCGGAUCGUAAAACUCUGUUGUUAGAGAAGCGGUAUCUAACCAGAAAGCCACGGCUAACUACGUGCCAGCAGCCGCGGUAAUAC
rnacentral:rRNA from 1 species